rnacentral:rRNA from 1 species
UACAGAGGGUGCGAGCGUUGUCCGGAAUCACUGGGCGUAAAGGGCGCGUAGGCGGCUUGGUAAGUAGGGGGUGAAAUCUUGCGGCUCAACUGCAAGGCUGCCUCCGAAACUGCCUGGCUGGAGCACGGUAGAGGCAGAUGGAAUUCCCGGUGUAGCGGUGGAAUGCGUAGAGAUCGGGAAGAACAUCGGUGGCGAAGGCGGUCUGCUGGGCCGUUGCUGACGCUGAGGCGCGACAGCGUGGGGAGCAAACAGG